UACAGAGGGUGCGAGCGUUGUUCGGAAUUACUGGGCGUAAAGCGCGCGCAGGCGGCCUUUUAAGUCUGACGGUGAAAUGCCGGGGCUCAACCCCGUGCCCGCCGGAGAUACUGGGAGGCUGGAGACGAGUAGAGGCAAGCGGAAUUCCGGGUGUAGCGGUGGAAUGCGUAGAGAUCCGGAAGAACACCGGAGGCGAAGGCGGCUCACUGGCCCGGUACUGACGCUGAGGUGCGAAAGCGUGGGGAGCAAACAGG
rnacentral:rRNA from 1 species